AUUGAACGCUGGCGGCAGGCCUAACACAUGCAAGUCGAGCGGAUACAGGCCGCUUGCUCCUGGCUUCUGCGGCAGGCGGGUGUGUAAUACCUAAACGUGUCCCUGCUAGUGGGGUAUAUAGUCCGGAGAGGGGCGCUUAUCCCACACACGCCAUGGGGGAGAACGGGGGGGCUCUUCGGAUCUCGCGCUUUCAGCUGACCCUAUGUCGGAUUAGCUAGUUGGUGGGGUAAAGGCCUACCAAGGCGACGAUCCGUAACUGGUCUGAGAGGAUGAUCAGCCACACUGGAACUGAGACACGGUCCAGACUCCUACGGGAGGCAGCAGUGGGGAAUAUUGGACAAUGGGCGAAAGCCUGAUCCAGCCAUGCCGCGUGUGGGAAGAAGGUCUUCGGAUUGUAAAGUGCUUUUAGUUGGGAGGAAAGGCAUUAGGUUAAUACCUGGCUGUAAUGACGUUACCGACAGAAUAAGCACCGGCUAACUACGUG
rnacentral:rRNA from 1 species